rnacentral:misc_RNA from 1 species
AAAAAAAGAAAACACUGGAAGUUAAUAUUUCAUACAAUGAAAUUGAAGGAUUUGCAACUUACAAACAAAACAAUGUGGAUAUUUUAUGUGCUAUUAGGUAUUUGUAUUAUCAUGUUCACAAUGUUGAUGAACAAUUCUUGCUCAGAAAAAAGAAACGGAAUUCAAUCGGUUAUUACUUGGACGAGCCAAAACGCUACAGACGAACCGGAGAAAGGUGCAACUAAAGAUCGAUUUUUGCGAAGGAUAAUCAAGGUUUUCGAUAAUGGACCACGAUUUGAUUAUUCCUUUUCACCUUUGUAUCAAAACAAGUCAUCAAAAAUCAUCGAAAGAAAUACUCGACAUCAAAACUUUGACACAGACAGACAUUUAUCAAAUGUGGAUUGUAGUUCGCUGUUUCAACAAAAUUUGAAAGAAAUUGAGAGAGUUCGUAACCUGAAUAGUACAAGGAAAUCACCUACGUUUUGCAAUCAAACAAUCGAGUGUAACAGUUUCAUUUUAUCAAGAGGAUAUAUUAUGGAUUCUUUAACCGACGAGGAAAGAGAUUUCCCAAUUGCAUAUAGUAUUCUUGUUUACGAAAGUCCAGAACAAUUUGAAAUUCUUCUGAGAGCCAUAUACCGCCCACAAAAUGCUUACUGUGUUCACGUUGACAGAAAAACCACCGAAACGUGUUUAAUGAAUUCUCAUGCAUUGCACAAUGCUUUCCAAAUGUGAAGUUGGCAUCUAAAAGAAUUGAGGUGGAAUGGGGGAAAAUAGGAAUAGUACUAGCGGAACUCUCGUGCAUGAAAGAUCUUUUAUCAUUUUCAAAAUGGAAAUAUUUCAUUAACUUAACUGGUCGGGAGUUUCCACUGCGUACAAAUUAUGAAUUAGUGAAAAUAUUAAAAAUUUAUAAUGGUUCCAACGAUGGGGAAGGCACAAUCAAAAGGGCUAACAAAGACAGAUGGAAAAUUGGAGAAAAGCCUCCCCAUAAUAUUCAUCCAGUAAAGGGAUCGGUUCACGUCACACUUAAUAGAAAGUUUGUGGAAUACCUCGUCAACAAUAGUGUAGCUGCUGAUUUUCUAACUUGGGUAAACAAAACAAAAAUUCCAGAUGAGACAUACUUCGCCACACUAAUUCACAAUCCUAAUCUUGGAAUUCCAGGAAGUUUUAAAGGAGAUCUGGAAACAGAUUAUGGUGUACAAAAACCUUUUCUAUCUCGGUUUAAAAACUGGGAAACCUCACCCAACUCUUUACCAUGUAAUGGUAAAUACGUAAGAACGAUCUGUAUUUUUGGAGUUGGAGAUCUCCCUCUUCUUGCUCGUCGACCUGAGUUCUUUGCCAAUAAAUUUCAUCUCGAUUACCAAAGAGAAUCUUUACUUUGUAUGGAUGAACUUAUUUUUUACAGGACAAGGGAUGAAUAUUACCAACGACUGCAUUUUGAUACAGAGUAUUAUAAAAACUUAAAACAUAUCCGAAACAUUGUAUAAAUGCAUUUACAUGUUUGAAGACCUAUUUGAUGAAUAAAAAAUAGUGUUUUAUGCGUAAAUGCUUU